UACAUGUGGGGCAAGCGUUGUUCGGAAUUACUGGGCAUAAAGGGUGCGUAGGCGGCUUGUUAAGUCACUGGUGAAAGUUUUCGGCCUAACCGGAAAAUGGCCUGUGAUACUGGCGAGCUUGAGUGCGUGAGGGGUUGGGGGAACGUGCAGUGUAGCGGUGAAAUGCGUAGAUAUGACAUAGAACACCAAUUGCGAAGGCAGCUCACUACACGAAUAUUGACACUGAGGCACGAAAGCGUGGGGAUCAAACAGG
rnacentral:rRNA from 1 species